UGCUCUGCUGACGAGUGGCGGACGGGUGAGUAAUGUCUGGGAAACUGCCUGAUGGAGGGGGAUAACUACUGGAAACGGUAGCUAAUACCGCACAACGUCUACGGACCAGAGUGGGGGACCUUCGGGCCUCAUGCCAUCACAUGUGCCCAAAUGGGAUUAUCUAGUAGGUGGGGUAACGGCUCACCUAGGCGACGAUCCCUAGCUGGUCUGAGAGGAUGACCAGCCACACUGGAACUGAGACACGGUCCAGACUCCUACGGGAGGCGGCAGUGGGGAAUAUUGCACAAUGGGCGCGAGCCUGAUGCAGCCAUGCCGCGUGUAUGAAGAACGCCUUCGGGUUGUAAAGUACUUUCAGCG
rnacentral:rRNA from 1 species